UACGUAGGGUGCAAGCGUUGUCCGGAAUUAUUGGGCGUAAAGAGCUUGUAGGCGGUUUGUCGCGUCGAAUGUGAAAACCCGGGGCUCAACCCCGGGCCUGCAUUCGAUACGGGCAGACUAGAGUUCGGUAGGGGGAGUCUGGAAUUCCUGGUGUAGCGGUGAAAUGCGCAGAUAUCAGGAGGAACACCGGUGGCGAAGGCGGGACUCUGGGCCGAUACUGACGCUGAGGAGCGAAAGCGUGGGGGAGCAAACAGG
rnacentral:rRNA from 1 species